rnacentral:rRNA from 1 species
AUACGUAGGGUGCAAGCGUUAAUCGGAAUUACUGGGCGUAAAGCGUGCGCAGGCGGUUUUGUAAGACAGAGGUGAAAUCCCCGGGCUCAACCUGGGAACUGCCUUUUUGACUGCAAGGCUACAGUACGGCAGAGGGGGAUGGAAUUCCGCGGGUAGGAGAGAAAUGCGUAGAAAUGCGGAGGAACAACGAUGGCGAAGGCAAUCCCCUGGGCCUGUACUGACGCUCAUGCACGAAAGCGUGGGGAGCAAACAGGAUUAGAUUCCCUGGUAGUCCACGCCCUAAACGAUGUCAACUGGUUGUUGGGUCUUCAUUGACUCAGUAACGAAGCUAACGCGUGAAGCUGACCGCCUGGGGAGUACGGCCGCAAGGUUGAAACUCAAAGGAAUUGACGGGG